UUUCCGUAGGUGAACCUGCGGAAGGAUCAUUACCGAGUGCCCGCCCCUCCUGGGGCGGACCUCCCACCCUUGACAUACCCUACUCACGUUGCUUUGGCGGGCCUUGGGCUCCCCCGAGAUCCCCCGCCAGAGAACCCAUAACUCAACCUAUAUAUCGUGUCGUCUGAGUACAUACACAAUCGUGAAAACUUUCAACAACGGAUCUCUUGGCUCUGGCAUCGAUGAAGAACGCAGC
rnacentral:misc_RNA from 1 species